UGUGUCUCGCAUUACAAUACUACUUCUAACCUUACUGAAAUGAAAUUUGGGGUUCCACAGGUGUCUGUCUUAGGCCCGCUGCUUUUCUCCCUUUAUAUAGCACCCCUUGGGCACAUAUUGUGGUGUUUUGGGAUUACCU